ACGGACGUGGUGGAAUUGGUAGACACGUUAGUCUUAGAAACUAAUGAUAAAAAUCUUGAGGGUUCAAGUCCCUCCGGCCGUA
rnacentral:tRNA from 1 species